GAUUGUUUCAUGUGAGGGUUUACUUCAUGCUCCUUCCAUUGAUCUUUCUGUUUGCCUUAGGCUGUGAUUUCCUGUGGAACAGCUCGGUCUAGAUAAACUCUGCAUAACCUGCUUAUUUGGACAGAGGUGGAUUGAUAUUGUCCUUUUUCCAGGAGUCAAGACUAAAGAAUUACAGAAAUACUGCAGUGCUAUCAAGUGGAUCAUUUAAGUGAUCGUGGCAUGGAGGAAAGCAUCAGGGUUACAGACUGGAUUCCUGGAGCAGAUGAGUUGACCUUCAUAGUCAGACAACAGAACAAGCUGUCGAAGUCCAUGUAGCCAACUCUGCAGUCAAAAGCAAAGUGCUGGGACUCAGGAGGUCUCGCUUGUUAAUUUAACUGCAAGUAAAUGAAGAAAUGCUGUUGGCCGUGUUAAUGUAAGUGAUUCAACAUAGACUGGCUCUCAGACCUAUGCAGAGCUCUUGUAAAAUUUAUGUUCACUUGUGCUAAAAAAUGUGGGGGAACGGGACUCAUGAGCAAGGCCUGGGAACUAAGUUUAUGGCUGACAGAAGGGGCAAUGCAUGAAUUGGCGGACAGACUAUGGAGCAGCAUGAAUGCUUUGAUCAUAAAAUACUUUUUAAUAUCUGUUGAGUUCACUUCAGCAUAGGGCCAGGCUAAAUGUAUACACAAGAGUCUGUGGUAUUGUGGGCUCUGCGUUGUUCUUAAAAUUGAAGGACUACUGAUGGAGUCAGAGAUCUGCACAGCCAAAGUUUAACUAAGUGACCUUGAAGUCAGCAUGAACAUAUGUAAUAUAAUGCGAGCAAUUAUAUACAGUAUUUUUUUUGCCUCUCUUCCUAUAUUGCUUCCUCCAUAUUGUUAUAUCUAUUUUCAGCUCAGUGCAGGCCUGAGGGAUAACGGCAGAUGACUCAUGGACCAGACACCAGUGACAAUGCAUUACUCUGUGUCUGUUGGCCAGGUGCUACUGACUGAAAUCACUGGCUCUACCUCAGUUCACUGCAGCAAAGUGUCUGGUCUUGCUUGGAUUUGCUUGAGAAAUGACCUUUAUUGUUCUUAUCCUCAUUCUCACCUUAUGCAGUCUCUGUGCGUGUGUGCACCAAAGUCACCUCCCCUGCAAGGGUGGACAGAUUUAGGGAUGCUCAAAAUGGCACAGAGAUGUGUGGUUUGCUCUCCUGCUUUUGCUUAACUGGCCAGCAAGUAAAUUCAGAGUGAGUGGAUCAGCUCAGGAACAAAGAAGGACCCGAAGAGCUCAAAAUAACAGUAAGUACUACCAAAAUUAUUUUUCUUAAUAUGUAAAAAUAGCAAAUGCCCCAUUUUUUAACCUGGAGG
rnacentral:lncRNA from 1 species